rnacentral:rRNA from 1 species
UACGAAGGGGGCUAGCGUUGUUCGGAAUUACUGGGCGUAAAGGGCGCGUAGGCGGUGUGUCAAGUCAGGCGUGAAAGCCCCGGGCUCAACCUGGGAACAGCGCUUGAGACUGGCACGCUCGAGUUCGGGAGAGGAUGGUGGAAUUCCCAGUGUAGCGGUGAAAUGCGUAGAGAUGGGGGAGAACACUCGUGGCGAAGGCGGCCAGCUAGACCAGUUCUGACACUGAGGCGCGACAGCGUGGGGAGCAAACAGG